rnacentral:rRNA from 1 species
ACGAUCAGUAGCCGGCUUGAGAGAGUGGACGGCCACAUUGGGACUGAGACACGGCCCAGACUCCUGCGGGAGGCAGCAGUGGGGAAUAUUGCACAAUGGGGGGAACCCUGAUGCAGCAAUGCCGCGUGGGUGAAGAAGCACUCCGGUGCGUAAAGCCCUGUCAGCAGGGAAGAAAAUGACAGUACCUGGACAAGAAGCCCCGGCUAACUACGUGCCAGCAGCCGCGGUAAUACGUAGGGGGCAAGCGUUAUCCGGAUUUACUGGGUGUAAAGGGAGCGCAGGCGGCGUGGCAAGUCAGAUGUGAAAACCCGGGGCCCAACCCCGGGAGUGCAUUUGAAACUGCCAUGCUGGAGUGCCGGAGAGGUAAGCGGAAUUCCUAGUGUAGCGGUGAAGUGCGUAGAUAUUAGGAGGAACACCAGUGGCGGAGGCGGCUUACUGGACGGUAACUGACGCUGAGGCUCGAAAGCGUGGGGAGCAAACAGGAUUAGAUACCCUGGUAGUCCACGCCGUA